UCAAGUGCUUUGUGAAAUCCCACGGNUCAACCGUGGAACAGCAGGGNAUACUGAUGGACUUGAGGCAAGUAGGGGNUGACGGNNCAGUAGGUGGUGCGGUGAAAUGCGUAGAUAUCUACUGGAACGCCGAUGGUGAAGACGGUCAGCUGGGCUUGUCCUGACACUGAGGCACGAAAGCGUGGGGAGCAAACAGGAUUAGAUACCCUGGUAGUCCACGCUGUAAACGAUGCGCACUUGACCGGUGCGGUUUUGGACGCCGUAUCGGUCGUAGUAAAAACGCAUCAAGUGCGCCGCCUGGGGAGUACGGUCGCAAGUAUUAUACUCAANGGAAUUGACGGGAGCUCACACA
rnacentral:rRNA from 1 species